GAUCCUGGCUCAGGAUGAACGCUAGCGACAGGCUUAACACAUGCAAGUCGAGGGGCAGCACGGGGUAGCAAUACCCCGGUGGCGACCGGCGCACGGGUGAGUAACACGUGUGCAACCAACCCCGUACCGGGAGAUAACCCGCGGAAACGUGGACUAACACCCCAUAACACCUUUCCCCCGCAUGGGGGGAGAGUUUAAAAUCACGAUGGUACGGGACGGGCACGCGCGACAUUAGGUAGUUGGCGGGGUAACGGCCCACCAAGCCGACGAUGUCUAGGGG
rnacentral:rRNA from 1 species